rnacentral:rRNA from 1 species
ACGGGAGGCAGCAGUGGGGAAUAUUGCACAAUGGGCGCAAGCCUGAUGCAGCGAUGCCGCGUGAGGGAAGAAGGUUUUCGGAUUGUAAACCUCUGUCAACAGGGACGAAAAUGACGGUACCUGUGAAGGAAGCUCCGGCUAACUACGUGCCAGCAGCCGCGGUAAUACGUAUGGUGCAAGCGUUAUCCGGAUUUACUGGGUGUAAAGGGAGCGCAGGCGGUACGGCAAGUCUGAUGUGAAAGCCCGGGGCUCAACCCCGGUACUGCAUUGGAAACUGUCGAACUAGAGUGUCGGAGGGGUAAGCGGAAUUCCUAGUGUAGCGGUGAAAUGCGUAGAUAUUAGGAGGAACACCAGUGGCGAAGGCGGCUUACUGGACGAUAACUGACGCUGAGGCUCGAAAGCGUGGGGAGCAAACAGGAUUAGAUACCCUGGUA